rnacentral:rRNA from 1 species
AUUGCACGCUGGCGGCGUGCUUAACACAUGCAAGUCGAACGAAGUGGCGCACGGGCGAGUAAUACUUGGGUACCCUGCCCUCCUUUUUGGGAUAAGUCUUGGAAACGGGGUCUAAUACCGAAUAAAGGGGGAUGGGCUCGCGGCCUAUCGGCUCGUUGGUGGGGUGAUGGCCUACCAAGGCGGUGACGGGUAGCCGGCCUGAGAGGGUGACCGGCCACGUUGGGACUGAGAUACGGCCCAGACGCCGAGGGGAGGAAGCAGUGGGGGAUAUGGCACAAUGGGCGAAAGCCUGAUGCAGCGACGCCGCGUGGGGGAUGAAGGCCUUCGGGGUGUAAAGCACUUUCAGCGGGGAGGCGUUACCCGCAGAAGAAGCACCGGCUAACUCCGUGCCAGCAGCCGCGGUAAUUC